UAAUUACUCUCAGCAACAGAACCUGAUCCAUGCAAGAGCUCAGCCUGUAGGAAGAUCCAGUCAGAACUUGGCUGAUCCUGAAGGUGAUGUUACCUACGCCUCCAUCCGCUACACCAAGAGGACCAACAGCAACACCAAGAACCAGGGUAAAGAUGGUGACGAAGAUGACACAGUGACCUACAGCUCUGCAAAGGCUUCUUUCUCUCCUGCUGCCUCUGAUCCCAGUAAAAUCUAUGCUACCAUCAACAAACCAAAACCUUAAGACUUUUGUGUACUGGUUACAGGUUUCGUUUUAAAUUUUAUGAUACAAUAAAACCAGAAAUAAUUUAGAUUUGUUUUACUGUAUUCAAUUUAGUUGAUUUAUAUUAUUCUCUUUAAUCCUAUAUAUAAGAGUUCUAUUGAUAUUUGUUGCUUUUUUUUGGCUUAAAUACA